GCUGCACAAAGAAUUUCUCUUACAUCAAGUAUGCGAGAGCUAUUGAUGGGCUGACGCCGGCAAUCUACAAUGUUCGGCCCAGUUAAAUAUACAACCAACCAGAUCAGGCCUGGAAGCCCCUGACCCUUGAUCCAAGGCGCGACCCGGACCAUAGAACACGGCGCUGCCAUGUCCGCCGCCGCCACCACCACAACGGCGGCGUCGCUGCCCCGCCCUUCCCUCCUCCACCAUCUGGUAACGCUGGACACGGCCUUAUCCCUCCGUAUCCACUCACUCUUCCGUCCCGUCCCCCGAUCCCUCCUCAAAGCCCUCGAGAUCUCCGGCGACGGCCGCUUCUGGUUCCCCAUCCCCCUCGCCCUUCUCCCCUUCUCCUCCUCCGCCACCGCUUUCCCUUUCCUCCUCGCUCUCCUCCUGGGCUUCCUCCUCGACCUCCUCCUCAUCGGCCUCGUCAAGCACCUCGUUCGCCGCCCCCGCCCCGUCUACAACAAGGGCAUGAGCCUCGCCUUCGCCGUCGACCACUGGUCCUUCCCCAGCGGCCACUCCUCCCGCGUCUUCUUCAUCGCCUCCUUCCUCCGUCUCUCCCACGCAUCCCUCCGCCAACUCCUCGCCGACCGCCUCUGGAUCGGUGCCCACUACGGCGGCGACCCCGCCGAGCUCCUGUUGCGGCUCGUCUUCGUCUGGUCCGUCGCCACCUCCGCCUCUCGAGUCCUCCUCGAGGCUGCAGGAAGCUAACAUGCCACUGCUUGACCAUGCUGCAACAUACUGACCAUGCAUGUCUGAUGGCUGAUGCAGACUGUCAGAAAAUGGUUUAGUCUAUCGAGAGUUGUUUCCAUUGAUUGAUGAACUAGUUCAACUGGCUUUGAACCUACAUGCUAGAGAUUUAACUCUUACACUGGUAAAUCCUCAAUAUAGCAGAAACAAGCAGCAAUAUAGUGUUGACAUCUUAGAGAACCUGACAUUGAUACAAAAUAGUGGGUGUUUUUGGAUGAUUUGAAGCUGGUGUUUGCAGCAGUUAUGCACUUUCUUUGGGAGGCCUGACCUGUCUAGUUGACAUAGUUGCGUGCUUUUUGGGAAUCCAAUGCUGAUAUUUAGGAACCGGAGUUUGAGGUUCCUGUGCCAGUGUGCCCACUCGUGUGCUGCAUUUCUUUUGACAAGCUAUCUUAUGUAAGGAUGCCAGUCUUUUUGAACAAAAGCUGUAUAUCUGGGGCUGGAUAGCUGGCAUCUUUUAACUGUGGAACUUAACUUCUUCAUAGCAUCAAUGGCAGAAAGAGGUUUGCUCUUUACAGGCACAUUACCCAUGUGAAUCUCUUUCUGCAUUGUCUGACACCAAUGUGAGUGCCCAGAGAGGAUUCUAAUGGCUUCAAAAGGUGGUAAAGCUCCUCCUGAUGUAGCACAACUGGGAAACUUGUGAAGGGCGAUAUGUGGGAAGAUACAAAGGGCUAACAAUUUUUCAGAUCACAUUGUAUGACUGAAUUCUGAAGCUUGUUGCAUGCAAUAUAUUUGGAGUAAAACAUGGCAUGUCUACAAGAUACUGCUUUUGUAUGAAACCUCAACACUGGAUGCUGAUUGAAAAAAAAUUGAAGUCAGAUCUAUUUGACACAA